GGCGCGAUCGUCGGGGAGCGGGUCCUUGCAAAGCUCCCAAGGAACAACCCACCUCUUGGAGCCCGCCUCCCAGAGUCUUCGAGUAGGGUGAGCCAGAGCGCAUGUGCAGGCAGAGAGAGAGCGAGAGCGAGAGCACGGCGUAGUCUAUGGCAGUCUAAGGGAUGAGCAAUGUCUUCAGGGAAGGCUGAGGAGGAAGUAGCUGCACAGAGCCCCGAAGAACCUAUUGAAAAAGAUGCCACUCACAGUCCAGCGCUGCCGCCCAGAGAACCAGAGUCGGGGUCCCAUGGUCAGAGCCAAACUUGGCUCCUGGAUCUGCUCGAUGACGUGCGCUACCUCAUCUCAUGCACCAAUUGGUACUAGCUUUUCUCUCUGCCUGCCUGCUCCAGGCACCUGACAGGUCAUUUGUCAUGUCCCAGCUCAAUCUCAUCAUGUGCCCACCAUGAGAAGCAUAAGAUAGCUUUGCUGGCUGUCUAGCUGUGACUUUCUCAAUGAGAGCACAUGGGAGCGGGGAAGAAAAGAGACCAGAGAAGAGGGAGUUCCCUGAAACUAGAGGGAUGGUGCACAGCACAAAGGCGUCAAGUUCUGCUGUCUGACUGAGGAGGAAAUCCGUGAGGAACACGGCAGACAUACUCCUCCAAAUCACUUUCCUGAGGUGGGAUGGCCUCCUCUGAUGCCUUUGUGAGAGAGAACAGAGAAGCCUCUAAAAGGCGGCAGGAGGAGGCUCUAUUUUCCAACACAGCUCCUUAGGUUUUGUUUUGGGUAUGGGCACGGUUUUAUUUUAAACAACUGCUGAUGCUAGGGGUUGUACCGAGGGGGGACCUUAGAGAUGCAAGGCUUGUGCUCCACUACUAAGGUGAGGAGAAGAAGGAGGAAAACGGCAGUGGAUCGAAUCCCACCCACCAACGCCACUUCCGAGCUGGCGGGGACAAAAAGGACUCCGGGGCGAUAACCGGGGCAACGCAGCAGCAGGCCGCGGCGGUGGAGCUGGGAGGUGAAGGAGGGGCUCUCCGCCGCUGCUCGGGACGGGAGCGCCUGGCGUUGGAGCCGAAGGUCGCGCUUCCCCCCGCGGCGGGCUCGCCUUACCGAGUCUUCCGGAACGGAUACGGCCGCCAACUCGCCCCGAGGCCUCCAGGAGGCACAGGUCGGCGAAGCACCGGGAGCCGCGGAGCAACCGCUGCGCCGCGCCCAGCCCCGCCACGCCAGCGCCCACGAUCAGCACCCGUGGCCGAGCUGGGAGCGCCGGGUUCCCUCUUGCUCCCGGUGGCUCCAUCCCUGCCGACUGCCUCCUGCCGGUCCUCCCUUUCCCGUGUGCCCGGUCAGGCAACUCUUUACCACAGAGGUGGAAAAAGACUAGAGUCACAACUCGCUGGUCUUGAAACGAGAGCUCCUUGCUCUGCUUGACGUCGGGUUUAGCUACUUUCCAAAGGGAAGAAAACUGAUAAGACCAUCAUGUCUCUUUGUACUCCCCUCUAUUCAGUUUUGCGCUUCCAGGCCGACACAAACAAAAUUUACAGCGCAUAGGAGAAGGGUCCCUGAACCGGGUGGUUUUUGUUUUGUUUUUUGCCAGUUAAAUUUGUUACCAUAUGGCAGCCAUUCAAAAUGUGGAUAACACCCCUUGUAACCCAUGAUGUGCUGCUGGCAGUAGGAUACAACCCCACAGGGCCGGACUGGGGGCACUGAGAGGGCAGGGGAAUUUAUGUGGGGGGGCGCCAGGUUUAUUAUUUAUUUAUUUAUUCGAUUUUUAUACCGCCCUUCCGAAAUUGCUCAGGGCCAUUUACUGUUUUUUGAGCAGAAUGGGUGGGUUUCACCAUACUUUUUGGGUUUCAUUUAAUAAUUAUUUUUUUCUGUUAACUUUUGAUAUGUGACCUCUGUUUUCUCUUACUUAUAAAUAUUUCAAAUGAAGUAUCACUUGUAACUAUUAAGAAGCACAAUUCUAUACUAAUAAAAUAGUUUGGAUAUA